rnacentral:rRNA from 1 species
GACGAACGCUGGCGGCGUGCUUAACACAUGCAAGUCGAACGGAAAGGCCUGCUUUCCCUUGUGGAUUGCGGGUACUCGAGUGGCGAACGGGUGAGUAACACGUGAGUGAUCUGCCCCCAACUUGGGUAUAAGCCUGGGAAACUGGGUCUAAUUCCCGAUAGGACUGCAGGGUGGUGCCUGUGGUGGAACACGAUUUUCUAGUGGUUGGGGAUGAGCUCGCGGCCUAUCAGCUUGUUGGUGGGGUAAUGGCCUACCAAGGCGGCGACGGGUAGCCGGCCUGGGAGGGUGGACGGCCACAUUGGGACUGAGAUACGGCCCAGACUCCUACGGGAGGCAGCAGUGGGGAAUAUUGCACAAUGGGCGGAAGCCUGAUGCAGCGACGCCGCGUGGGGGAUGACGGGCUUCGGGUUGUAAACUCCUUUCGACCGCGAGGAAGCCACCUGGUUGGAAGGGUGGUGACGGUAGUGGUAGAAGAAGCACCGGCUAACUACGUG